rnacentral:rRNA from 1 species
UACAGAGGGGGCAAGCGUUGUUCGGAAUUACUGGGCGUAAAGGGCGCGUAGGCGGCCUGUUAAGUCGAACGUGAAAUCCCCGGGCUCAACCCGGGAACUGCGUCCGAUACUGGCAGGCUUGAAUCCGGGAGAGGGAUGCGGAAUUCCAGGUGUAGCGGUGAAAUGCGUAGAUAUCUGGAGGAACACCGGUGGCGAAGGCGGCAUCCUGGACCAACAUUGACGCUGAGGAGCGAAAGCCAGGGGAGCAAACGGG